AAAACGCAUGCACACACAUGCAAGCACACAGGAUCACACCCACAGACUAACACACACACGAACAUGCAUGCACGCACACAUGCACACCCUUUUCCAACUUGACUGGACCUUCACUGCACGGUCGUAUGGACUGUGGAGAAGAGAUGGGAAAGUGCAUGUAGGAAAGCCAAGCCCUCGUGGAGCUUGUCGAAAGGUUUUUAUGGUGAAUGUGAUUCAAAGCCAUAAUAGCAACUUCCCAGUAGCCAUACCAAUAUUCACACUGUGCAAUGUCCAAGACUGCUGGGCUCUCCACCGACUGAGAGACCGGAUGAAUACUGGUGAUCACGUGAAUUUGUGCAUUUUAACUCUGACCUUUAAAAAAAACUAUUUGCAUGGCAUUCAUAAUAUGUUAAAGCCAAGGGCAUGAAAUACAAACUAAAUCGCUCCGGUUCACCAAGGUAACCAACUUCCUGUUGCAAACGUUAAGAAAAAAAAUGAAAAGACUGAGUUUGAAUGGGCAGAGACAUAUUGACAAACGUAUUUAUUGCUUUUGUCUGCUGGUCAGAAGUACUGAUGGGACUUGUUUGUUUGUUAUUAGUUUACAGUACUCAGAUGUGGACAGCGGAUCACAAACAUUAUUGUAUUGUUAUUUCAGCGUUACUGAAUGUGGCCAAUGUACAAAAUUGUUAGUCGAAACGCCAAGCAAAGGCUGCCACCAAAGCUACAUUUCAAUUAGCAUGAAUGCAUUGUGGCUUCGCCCUAAAGUCACACAUCCCCCGACGAACGCGACUUUGUAAUCGCCUCCAUUCAUUUCAACUGGAGCCGAGUUUUCGCGUCCGCAAUGCAUGCUGGGAUAGCUGGCGAUGUGAGGCAAGUGGGCGGAGCGACCUGAAGGAUGGGAAACAUGGUGCCAUAACCAAUCAGAUUAAAGAUCUUUCCAUUUUAAAUAAUAUUUCCCCCUUCCACAUAGUUCUGUUCGGAGGACUCGUUAAUUAUUGCUUUGUGGGGAUUUCCUAGAUAUACAGCAGAUAUUCAUUUAACGAACACUAUUUUAAAACUCGAAAACAUGCCCAUAAGCAGCAGAUGGAGCUGUGGGAGGAGAGGGCAAUGCCAGGGGAACUUGUCUGAGGAUGUGUGGCUUCACCCUUAGAAUGUCGAUUCCCAUUUUUUUCCCAGCUGGGCAAAUUGAAAAGAGCAGCUUGUGCGUUUGACCCUUGACAAACUGAGAUUUUAAACACCUGUUUUGAUUGCCGUUUCGCCAAAGCCAAAUGUUUGUUGCACGUUCAGCUAAAUUCGCAGCGACAUUCUAAUGGAAACGUAGCAACUGUGGUGCCAUAAAGGAUCCUCAUCAAAUAUGACGAAGAGAAUCAUUUUGCCACAAGGACGAGCUAUUUAAUUCAGCUCCCAGGACAUGGACCAGGUGCACCUGAUCACACUGACGCUCUGAUUUAGUUAUCCUUUAUUAAUAGACUGAUUUAUCUUUGGACUGGUUUAUAUAUGCUCAUUGCAGUUUAAUGGACAUUUUCCCUGGCUCUGAUUGCAUAUUGUAGAAAUGUAUUUUUUGUGCUACUGCAAGACCUGCACCACAGAAUCAGACUGAACCCUCUCAUGGAUUGUCAUGAAAAAAAUGGGUCUUAUUUUAAUAUUGACCCCUAUGUAAUUGGGAGCAUAGCAGUUUAGCUGUACAUUUGUGAUGCACUGAUUUAAUUGGCUAAGAUUUAAUUGGGGGGGGGGGGGGCAGUAGGCUGGAACCACCAAUGGCUCAAUUUUAUUUUAAGACUAAGUUGUUUUUUUUGUAGUUGCGGAAGAAAUAUGUUGACUGAUGAUAUUUAAUUUGUUCAAGAGUUCCAUUCAGGGUUAAAUAUGAAUUCUGUGUCCCACAUCAGAAUGAACAUUUGACAAAACAUUUCUGACAGAACACAUUACAGCAAAUACCAGUUUAAACCUUAAUCAUGUUUAGGGUGACAGUUAAAAAAAGCUCCCUAGGUUGCAUAUAGGAAGAAACCUUGGGAAGAACCAUACUCAGUAGGGGGCCCACCAGCAUCUGGCUUGGUUUGGGGUUGUGGGACCAACGUGGUCAUUAAGUAAAUAUCGACUCAUUUUGAAUGAAGGGAUGAGAGCACAUAAGCAGUGGUUGUAUCCCGCCAUUUUCUGUAACUCCUUGUCCUUGUCGCACUUCUCAUCCGUUGCGCUAAAGUCGGCCUAGAAGCAGUAGUUUGCUGGCUCUGGGUUUAUUAUGGGAUGUUUUGGCCGUAGGUUCGCUAGACACCUUCUGGACGCGCCGGCCUCUUGUUGUACCCAAAUGGGCAACACCACAGUCUAGAAUACAUUUUCGUGUCCCAUAAUUCCAGUUGGAAUGAGCCCGUACAACAGCUAUGCUGAAGCAGUCACCGUCAGGUGACCAGGGCUUGUCAUAAGUGGUGGACUGACCGGUCGUGAACUGGCCCGUUCUGUGUGUGAAAUGAGAUGUAAUUUGUUGCCUGGGUAAAGUGACCUACAUGUGUGUGAAUGGAAACACCACGUGUAUUGUGUUAGAUUAAGAGGUGUAGUUCUGUCUCGUGUGCGUGUGUGUGUGUGUGUGUGUGUGUGUUUUAACAGACCCACUGGUUGAGUGGAGUGUUAAAAGCGAUGAACCAUUGAUAAUGUCUGUUGUUAGGGGGGGGAGGGGGAAUGCCUUUCAGUAAGCUGUCAUUUGAUUGAUGUAAAUGUUUAAUAUUUUAUUACUGCUGUACAUUUUUUUUUCUAUCCUCGUGUGAAAAGUGAAGUAAUUUAUUAAUUUAUUGUUUUGCUGUUUAAAAAAGAAAAAAAAAGAAAAGAAAAACAGAAAUACAGCUUGCCUAACAGUGUAUGCUCUGUCUCGGGUCUGUGAAGCAAUAUGCCAAAUGAUGCCACGGUAACAGUAAAAAAUAUGGUACAUUUGGGAUGCACAUGACUUUGUUAUUCCUGUAUUACCAGAAAAGAUGUGGACUGUAAAUAAACGAUGCAUUACGAAUACA